rnacentral:rRNA from 1 species
AGAGUUUGAUCAUGGCUCAGAUUGAACGCUGGCGGCAGGCCUAACACAUGCAAGUCGAACGGUAACAGGAAGAAGCUUGCUUCUUUGCUGACGAGUGGCGGACGGGUGAGUAAUGUCUGGGAAACUGCCUGAUGGAGGGGGAUAACUACUGGAAACGGUAGCUAAUACCGCAUAACGUCGCAAGACCAAAGAGGGGGACCUUCGGGCCUCUUGCCAUCGGAUGUGCCCAGAUGGGAUUAGCUAGUAGGUGGGGUAACGGCUCACCUAGGCGACGAUCCCUAGCUGGUCUGAGAGGAUGACCAGCCACACUGGAACUGAGACACGGUCCAGACUCCUACGGGAGGCAGCAGUGGGGAAUAUUGCACAAUGGGCGCAAGCCUGAUGCAGCCAUGCCGCGUGUAUGAAGAAGGCCUUCGGGUUGUAAAGUACUUUCAGCGGGGAGGAAGGGAGUAAAGUUAAUACCUUUGCUCAUUGACGUUACCCGCAGAAGAAGCACCGGCUAACUCCGUGCCAGCAGCCGCGGUAAUACGGAGGGUGCAAGCGUUAAUCGGAAUUACUGGGCGUAAAGCGCACGCAGGCGGUUUGUUAAGUCAGAUGUGAAAUCCCCGGGCUCAACCUGGGAACUGCAUCUGAUACUGGCAAGCUUGAGUCUCGUAGAGGGGGGUAGAAUUCCAGGUGUAGCGGUGAAAUGCGUAGAGAUCUGGAGGAAUACCGGUGGCGAAGGCGGCCCCCUGGACGAAGACUGACGCUCAGGUGCGAAAGCGUGGGGAGCAAACAGGAUUAGAUACCCUGGUAGUCCACGCCGUAAACGAUGUCGACUUGGAGGUUGUGCCCUUGAGGCGUGGCUUCCGGAGCUAACGCGUUAAGUCGACCGCCUGGGGAGUACGGCCGCAAGGUUAAAACUCAAAUGAAUUGACGGGGGCCCGCACAAGCGGUGGAGCAUGUGGUUUAAUUCGAUGCCAACGCGAAGAACCUUACCUGGUCUUGACAUCCACGGAAGUUUUCAGAGAUGAGAAUGUGCCUUCGGGAACCGUGAGACAGGUGCUGCAUGGCUGUCGUCAGCUCGUGUUGUGAAAUGUUGGGUUAAGUCCCGCAACGAGCGCAACCCUUAUCCUUUGUUGCCAGCGGUCCGGCCGGGAACUCAAAGGAGACUGCCAGUGAUAAACUGGAGGAAGGUGGGGAUGACGUCAAGUCAUCAUGGCCCUUACGACCAGGGCUACACACGUGCUACAAUGGCGCAUACAAAGAGAAGCGACCUCGCGAGAGCAAGCGGACCUCAUAAAGUGCGUCGUAGUCCGGAUUGGAGUCUGCAACUCGACUCCAUGAAGUCGGAAUCGCUAGUAAUCGUGGAUCAGAAUGCCACGGUGAAUACGUUCCCGGGCCUUGUACACACCGCCCGUCACACCAUGGGAGUGGGUUGCAAAAGAAGUAGGUAGCUUAACCUUCGGGAGGGCGCUUACCACUUUGUGAUUCAUGACUGGGGUGAAGUCGUAACAAGGUAACCGUAGGGGAACCUGCGGUUGGAUCACCU